UAAGACGUUGAUAGGCUGGGUGUGUAAGUGCAGCGAUGCAUUGAGCUAACCAGUACUAAUGAUCCGUGAGGCUUAACCUUACAACACCGAAGGUGUUU
rnacentral:rRNA from 1 species